rnacentral:rRNA from 1 species
UACGUAGGGUCCGAGCGUUGUCCGGAAUUAUUGGGCGUAAAGAGCUCGUAGGCGGUCUGUCGCGUCGGCUGUGAAAACACGGGGCUCAACUCCGUGCCUGCAGUCGAUACGGGCAGACUAGAGUUCGGUAGGGGAGACUGGAAUUCCUGGUGUAGCGGUGAAAUGCGCAGAUAUCAGGAGGAACACCGGUGGCGAAGGCGGGUCUCUGGGCCGAUACUGACGCUGAGGAGCGAAAGCGUGGGGAGCGAACAGG